rnacentral:rRNA from 1 species
GACGAACGCUGGCGGCGCGCCUAACACAUGCAAGUCGAAGGGAAUCGAGAGGAGCUUGCUUUUCUUGAUUUAGUGGCGAACGGGUGAGCAACGCGUGAGUAACCUGCCCUGGAGUGGGGGACAACAGUUGGAAACGACUGCUAAUACCGCAUAAGACCAAGGUGCCGCAUGGCACUGCGGGAAAAGGAAUUAUUCGCUUCCGGAUGGACUCUCGUCCAAUUAGCUAGUUGGUGAGGUAACGGCCCACCAAGGCGACGAUUGGUAGCCGGACUGAGAGGGUGAACGGCCACAGUGGGACUGAGACACGGCCCAGACUCCUACGGGAGGCAGCAGUGGGGGAUAUUGCACAAUGGGGGAAACCCUGAUGCAGCGACGCCGCGUGGAGGAAGAAGGUUUUCGGAUUGUAAACUCCUGUCGUUAGGGACGAUAAUGACGGCGCCUAACAAGAAAGCACCGGCUAACUACGUGCUAGCAGCAGCCGCGG